GAGUGAACGCUGGCGGUGCGCCUAAAACAUGCAAGUCGAGUGGGUUUAGACCCACGGCGAACGGCUGCGUAACACAUGGGUACCUGCCCCGAACUCAGGGAUAUCCCGCCGAAAGGCGGAGUAAUACCGGAUGCCCUCGGCUUCUUCUUGGACUGAUACUGUUGGAAGUACUUCUUCCUUUGAGAAAUUGUUAAACUGUUAAACUGUUAAAUUUGUUCGCAAGCGAUAACGAUCGUUUUGCUCUCCAGCAAUUUAACAAUAUAACAAUUUAACAAUUCACCUCGUCGGUUGAGUAGUUUCUACCAUCUCAGUACAAAAAGAAGUCGAGGAAAGAUUUUUCGGUUCGGGAGGGGCCUGUGCCCUAUCAGCUAGUUGGUAAGGUAAUGGCUUACCAAGGCUAUGACGGGUAGCUGGUCUGAGAGGACGGCCAGCCAGAAUGGGACUGAGACACGGCCCAUACUCCUACGGGAGGCAGCAGUUAGGAAUCUUCCGCAAUGGGCGAAAGCCUGACGGAGCGACACCGCGUGAAGGAUGAAGCCCUUUCUGGGUGUAAACUUCUGUUCUGAGGGAAGAAAUUUUUGACGGUACCUCAGGAGAAAGCACCGGCUAAUUCUGUGCCAGCAGCCGCGGUAAGACAGAAGGUGCAAGCGUUACUCGGAAUUACUGGGCGUAAAGCGUCUGUAGGUUUUCAACCACGUCUGACGUGAAAUCGCGGGGCUCAACCCCGCGCCCACGUUGGAAACGAGUUGGAUAGAGUCAUUCAGAGGCAUCUGGAAUGUCGUGUGUAGGGGUAAAAUCCGUAGAUACACGAUGGAACGCCAAAAGUGAAGACAGGAUGCUAGGAAUGCACUGACACUCAGAGACGAAAGCGUGGGGAGCAAAGGGGAUUAGAUACCCCCGUAGUCCACGCCCUAAACUAUGCGAGCUCGGUGUGGGACUUUCAAUCAAGUCCCGUGCCUUAAGCUUACGCGGUAAGCUCGCCGCCUGGGAAGUACGGCCGCAAGGCUAAAACUCAAAGGAAUAGACGGGGACCCACACAAGCGGUGGAGCAUGGGGUUUAAUUCGAUGACAAGCGAAGCACCUCACCCAGACUUGACAUGUAGGGAAUCCUGAAGAAAUUCGGGAGUGCCGCAAGGAACCCUAACACAGGCGCUGCACGGUCGUCGUCAGCUCGUGCCUUGAGGUGUACUGUUCAGUCAGCCAACGAGCGCAACCCUGAUUCUAUGUUGUUUUUUCAUAGAAGACUGCCGCCUCCAAGGCGGAGGAAGGUCAGGAUGACGUCAGAUCAGCGUGGCCCUUAUGUCUGGGGCAACACCCGUGCUACAAUGGCCGGUACAAACGGCAGCAAACCCGCGAGGGGGAGCAAAUCCGAUAAAACCGGUCUCAGUUCAGAUUGAAGUCUGCAACUCGACUUCAUGAAGUUGGAUCGCUAGAACCGUGAAUCAGUACGUCACGGUACAAGUUCCUGGUCUUACCA
rnacentral:rRNA from 1 species